GAAUGUGGGGGUGGUUGUGGCUUUGAAAUGCAUGACCUCACUGAUCACCAGAUUGUUCUGUCUGAUAUGGAUGGGUGGGUGGGUGUCCCAUUCUUCUCUCACUGCUCCAUGUAUGUUUCUCCCAAAGCUGUACACUCAGUCAAAGAGGAUGACUUCCCUCAUACAGAUGUACAUUCAUCAGUUCAGUGCAUGCUAGAACCUCCAAGCAAGUUCUGUAACUCUAUGAGCUGAAUCUUUACCUGAAUAGAUGGCAGAGUUGAAAUUCCUCCUGAGAAAACUGAUUCAGC
rnacentral:snRNA from 1 species